rnacentral:rRNA from 1 species
GACGAACGCUGGCGGCGUGCUUAACACAUGCAAGUCGAACGGUAAGGCUCCAGCUUGCUGGGGUACACGAGCGGCGAACGGGUGAGUAACACGUGGGUGACCUGCCCUGCACUUCGGGAUAAGCCUGGGAAACUGGGUCUAAUACCGGAUAGGACUGCACCGUGAGGGUGUGGUGGAAAGUUUUUUCGGUGUGGGAUGGGCCCGCGGCCUAUCAGCUUGUUGGUGGGGUAAUGGCCUACCAAGGCGGCGACGGGUAGCCGGCCUGAGAGGGUGGACGGCCACAUUGGGACUGAGACACGGCCCAGACUCCUACGGGAGGCAGCAGUGGGGAAUAUUGCACAAUGGGCGGAAGCCUGAUGCAGCGACGCCGCGUGGGGGAUGACGGCCUUCGGGUUGUAAACUCCUUUCACCAUCGACGAAGGGUUUCUGACGGUAGAUGGAGAAGAAGCACCGGCUAACUACGUGCCAGCAGCCGCGGUAAUACGUAGGGUGCGAGCGUUGUCCGGAAUUACUGGGCGUAAAGAGCUCGUAGGUGGUUUGUCGCGUCGUCUGUGAAAUUCCGGGGCUUAACUCCGGGCGUGCAGGCGAUACGGGCAUAACUUGAGUACUGUAGGGGAGACUGGAAUUCCUGGUGUAGCGGUGAAAUGCGCAGAUAUCAGGAGGAACACCGGUGGCGAAGGCGGGUCUCUGGGCAGUAACUGACGCUGAGGAGCGAAAGCAUGGGGAGCGAACAGGAUUAGAUACCCUGGUAGUCCAUGCCGUAAACGGUGGGCGCUAGGUGUGGGUUUCCUUCCACGGGAUCCGUGCCGUAGCUAACGCAUUAAGCGCCCCGCCUGGGGAGUACGGCCGCAAGGCUAAAACUCAAAGGAAUUGACGGGGGCCCGCACAAGCGGCGGAGCAUGUGGAUUAAUUCGAUGCAACGCGAAGAACCUUACCUGGGCUUGACAUAUACAGGAUCGCGCCAGAGAUGGUGUUUCCCUUGUGGCUUGUAUACAGGUGGUGCAUGGUUGUCGUCAGCUCGUGUCGUGAGAUGUUGGGUUAAGUCCCGCAACGAGCGCAACCCUUGUCUUAUGUUGCCAGCACGUUGUGGUGGGGACUCGUAAGAAACUGCCGGGGUUAACUCGGAGGAAGGUGGGGAUGACGUCAAAUCAUCAUGCCCCUUAUGUCCAGGGCUUCACACAUGCUACAAUGGUCGGUACAGUGGGUUGCCAGUCCGUGAGGGCGAGCUAAUCCCGCAAAGCCGGUCUCAGUUCGGAUCGGGGUCUGCAACUCGACCCCGUGAAGUCGGAGUCGCUAGUAAUCGCAGAUCAGCAACGCUGCGGUGAAUACGUUCCCGGGCCU